AUUGAACGCUGGCGGCAUGCCUUACACAUGCAAGUCGAACGGCAGCGCGGGGCAACCUGGCGGCGAGUGGCGAACGGGUGAGUAAUAUAUCGGAACAUACCCUAGAGUGGGGGAUAACGUAGCGAAAGUUACGCUAAUACCGCAUACGCACUAAGGUGGAAAGUGGGGGAUCUUCGGACCUCAUGCUCAUGGAGUGGCCGAUAUCUGAUUAGCUAGUUGGUGAGGUAAAGGCUCACCAAGGCGACGAUCAGUAGCUGGUUUGAGAGAACGACCAGCCACACUGGAACUGAGACACGGUCCAGACUCCUACGGAGGCAGCAGUGGGGAAUUUUGGGACAAUGGGGGCAACCCUGAUCCAGCAAUGCCGCGUGAGUGAAGAAGGCC
rnacentral:rRNA from 1 species